GGCAAGGUCCAUACCACGUUGAAUACACCAGUUCUCGUCCGAUCACUGAAGUUAAGCAACAUUGGGCGCGGUCAGUACUUGGAUGGGUGACCGCUUGGGAACACCGCGUGUCCUUGCCUCUC
rnacentral:rRNA from 1 species